AUGUGCAAUCACAAUAUCAUUAAAUUAAUUAACAAUGGGUUAACAAAUUUCAAUAAAAAAGCCGACUCUUAUCAAUCAAACAGCUGACUUUAAAACGAUAACAUUUGAUAAACUUUUAGUAAUACACAGAUAAGGUCAAGUUUUAUUUGGUAAUGUUAUUUAAUCCUUAACUUUAAAAUUUAGAGAAAUUCAUUACAACAUACAGGUUUUUAAUAAAUUAAAACAAAACAUUUUUUUAUUUAUUUUAAAUUUUAAUAUUAAGCAAACAUUUUCCUUUUUUUUGAAGAGUUACUCUGAAUAAUUAUAAUUUUAUUUUACAGUAAACAACUUCAAAAUGAUAAGAUUAAAUCCUACUAGAUUAGAAUUAAGAAUUGAGGAUCUAAGUGAGUUCUCGGAAGUUAAAAAUGAAUUUGAAGCUAUCAAAAAAUCCAGAGAAGAAAAACAAAAAGGUCUCUUAGGUAACAUAACUAACAAUGUAAAGAAUAAGGAUGCUGUUCAAGAAAGAAUAGGAUUUGUUCCAAGACCAAGACAUUCUUCACAAUAAAUUAAAUACAAUACAUUGUCUCGUUUAUACUGUAAAUAAAUUAUUUUCUUUCAAUUUGAAUAAGUGAAUAAUGUUUAUUUUCCAAAAAAAUGUUAAAUUUAAAUAAACUUUAAUAUUAUGCUAA